rnacentral:rRNA from 1 species
AAGAAAGCUGGCGGCAGCUAACACAUGCAAGUCGAGCGGUAGAGAGAAGCUUGCUUCUCUUGAGAGCGGCGGACGGGUGAGUAAUGCCUAGGAAUCUGCCUGGUAGUGGGGGAUAACGUUCGGAAACGGACGCUAAUACCGCAUACGUCCUACGGGAGAAAGCAGGGGACCUUCGGGCCUUGCGCUAUCAGAUGAGCCUAGGUCGGAUUAGCUAGUUGGUGAGGUAAUGGCUCACCAAGGCUACGAUCCGUAACUGGUCUGAGAGGAUGAUCAGUCACACUGGAACUGAGACACGGUCCAGACUCCUACGGGAGGCAGCAGUGGGGAAUAUUGGACAAUGGGCGAAAGCCUGAUCCAGCCAUGCCGCGUGUGUGAAGAAGGUCUUCGGAUUGUAAAGCACUUUAAGUUGGGAGGAAGGGCAUUAACCUAAUACGUUAGUGUUUUGACGUUACCGACAGAAUAAGCACCGGCUAACUCUGUGCCAGCAGCCGCGGUAAUACAGAGGGUGCAAGCGUUAAUCGGAAUUACUGGGCGUAAAGCGCGCGUAGGUGGUUUGUUAAGUUGGAUGUGAAAUCCCCGGGCUCAACCUGGGAACUGCAUUCAAAACUGACUGACUAGAGUAUGGUAGAGGGUGGUGGAAUUUCCUGUGUAGCGGUGAAAUGCGUAGAUAUAGGAAGGAACACCAGUGGCGAAGGCGACCACCUGGACUAAUACUGACACUGAGGUGCGAAAGCGUGGGGAGCAACAGGAUUAGAUACCCUGGUAGUCCACGCCGUAAACGAUGUCAACUAGCCGUUGGAAGCCUUGAGCUUUUAGUGGCGCAGCUAACGCAUUAAGUUGACCGCCUGGGGAGUACGGCCGCAAGGUUAAACUCAAAUGAAUUGACAAAGGCG